ACGAACGCUGGCGGCGUGCUUAACACAUUCAAGUCGAACGGAAAGGCCUGCUUUCCCUUGUGGAUUGCGGGUACUCGAGUGGCGAACGGGUGAGUAACACGUGAGUGAUCUGCCCCCAACUUGGGUAUAAGCCUGGGAAACUGGGUCUAAUUCCCGAUAGGACUGCAGGGUGGUGCCUGUGGUGGAAAACGAUUUUCUAGUGGUUGGGGAUGAGCUCGCGGCCUAUCAGCUUGUUGGUGGGGUAAUGGCCUACCAAGGCGGCGACGGGUAGCCGGUCUGGGAGGGUUGACGGCCACAUUGGGACUGAGAUACGGCCCCGACUCCUACGGGAGGCAGCAGUGGGGAAUAUUGCACAAUGGGCGGAAGCCUGAUGCAGCGACGCCGCGUGGGGGAUGACGGCCUUCGGGUUGUAAACUCCUUUCGACCGCGAGGAAGCCACCUGGUUGGAAGGGUGGUGACGGUAGUGGUAGAAGAAGCACCGGCUAACUACGUG
rnacentral:rRNA from 1 species